GGGGAUGACCGGCUUUGACAGCAAGGUUAAUAAAAUAAUAAGCAUGUCGAGUAUUGUUAUACUCUCUCGUAAAAAAAGUAUGCAAAAUUUUAAUUGGCGAGAAUAACUACGCUUUAGCUGCUUAAUUUAAUAUUAAUUAGCUUUUGUUCCCGUAUUAGGUUUUUUCAACACCUAAAACAUGGAACAUCAUUUAAGUUGAAAUAGCUUUAAUAACACCUGGGUAUUAAAGUGAAAUUUACCAGGAUAAGGUUAAUUUUGGUUGUGUUAUAGCUGAGUUAAUUCGAAAACUAAAUAACACUAAACAUGUAGAAAAUUAUUAUGUUACUUGUUUGGACCAGGGUUCGAUUCCCUGCAUCUCCACUA
rnacentral:tmRNA from 1 species